rnacentral:rRNA from 1 species
GACGAACGCUGGCGGCGUGCCUAAUACAUGCAAGUCGAACGCUGAAGGAGGAGCUUGCUCUUCUUGAUGAUUUGCGAACGGGUGAGUAUCGCGUAUGUAACCUGCCCGGUAGCGGGGGAUAACUAUUGGAAACGAUAGCUCAUACCGCGUAAGAGUAGAUGUUGCAUGACAUUCACUUAAAAGGUGCAAUUGCGUCACUACCAGAUGGACCUGCGGUGUAUCAGCUAGUUGGUGGGGUAACGGCGUACCAAGGCGACGAUACAUAGUCGGCCUGGGGGGGGGGACCGGCAACCUGGGAAUGGGACAAGGCCCAGACUCCUAAGGGGAGGAGCCGGAGGGGAUCUUCGGCAAUGGGGGGAAGGCUGGCCGGAGAACGCCGGGGGAGGGAAGAAGGGUCUCGGGUUGUAAAGCCUCGUUGUAUGGGAAGGAAGAGUGUGAGAGUGGAAAGUGCACACCGUGACGGUACCUUAUCAGAAAGCGACGGCUAACUACGUG